AGAGUUUGAUCAUGGCUCAGGAUGAACGCUAGCGGCAGGCCUAACACAUGCAAGUCGAGGGGCAGCGGGAAGGAGCUUGCUCCUUUGCCGGCGACCGGCGCACGGGUGCGCAGCGCGUAUGGAACCUGCCCUUUACAGGGGAACAGCCCAGGGAAACUUGGAUUAAUGCCCCAUGGCGCCGUUUCGCGGAAUCGCGUUACGGUCAAAGCCUCCGGGCGGUAAAGGAUGGCCAUGCGUCCCAUUAGCUAGUUGGUGCGGUAACGGCGCACCAAGGCCGCGAUGGGUAGGGGCCCUGAGAGGGGGAUCCCCCACACUGGUACUGAGACACGGACCAGACUCCUACGGGAGGCAGCAGUGAGGAAUAUUGGACAAUGGGCGGGAGCCUGAUCCAGCCAUGCCGCGUGCAGGAAGACCGCCCUAUGGGUCGUAAACUGCUUUUGUACGGGAAGAACAAGGGGCACUUGUGCCCCCCUGACGGUACCGUAAGAAUAAGGAUCGGCUAACUCCGUGCCAGCAGCCGCGGUAAUUC
rnacentral:rRNA from 1 species